GGAAAAAAAUAGUACAUGUAAUAUUUACCUUGCUUUAUCAUUGAUUUUGUCAAAACGAAUUCCUUCUUUGUACCCAUACCGGUGCAGCUCUGAUCCUACAUUAACGAUCCUUCCUUCUUUACCACAUUCGCGUGCGGUUUUUUUCAAGGUGUCCAACAAAAGAUUUGUCAAAAGGAAUGGACCCAAAUGGUUAACGGCAAAUUGCUGUUCUAUGUUGUCCUUGGAAAGCGUGAAUGGAGGUGCCAUGAUCCCUGCAUUGUUACUGUCAACACCAAAGACUACGAGUUCAGUUAUAUGCUAAGGUAGAUUAGGCCAUUAUGAUACAUUGAAGCGUAUUUAAGAAAAAUUACAAGACAAAAGACGGUUAAAUGUUAAAUAGCAGUUUUCUUACACAAGGAUGUUCAGGGGAAGACCAGUGGCGAUAAAUUCAGCAACAAAUUUCCUUAUGGAUGCCUGUGAAUUGAGAUCAAUCUCCAUUACAUCAAGUUUAGCACCGGGGAUUUUCUGGCGUAAUUCUUCUUUAACUUUUUCACCAGCUUUAACAUUUCUCACUCCCAUAAUUACAUGAACGCCACGUAAGGCAAGGACACGGGUAGUUUCUUUACCAAUACCAUUUGAUGCUCCUGAGGUUAUACAGAGUGUUAUUAAGCACUUUUCGGUUAAGUCAUAGAUUAAGUACAGAUCAUUCUCAUAUAGUGGACCAAACAAGUUUAUGGGAAAGUAUGAAGCAUCAGGAAUUCAAUUAAGUUAAGAAUCACACUUUUUAUAACAAGAUAAAUCUCGGUUUAAGGAUUACCUUUUACAUAAAUCGACAGUCGGUCACAUCUACAAUCUAAUAGAACAACUAUGAACAAAGUCUGAGAAACCCACAAUUUUCUUGGAUUUUGAAUUUCACUGUCCUAAGAUAUUUUAUCCCAAUUGUAAUACCUCAAACCAUAAGAAAUGUUCCAACAUGCACAUACUGAUGAUAUUUAACCCCCAAAAGAAGAAGAAAAAAAAACACCAAGUGAAUUGAUAAUAAGAUCCAGAUGACUACUGAUGAUCCCAAAAUAUCGAAAUGGAUUAACUUAUUUAUAUAUCGCAUUGUUCUUGAUUCAGCUUGGUAACUGUUACUGAAUUAGAACUGCAUACUCAUGUAAACAUUUCAACAAGCACAUUAUGCGCUAAUUUACAAUAACAUCUUACUAAAAAAUCUUGCUUUCUUUGUUUUCUAAUAAUAAUCUUAUUUCCCCCCUUCUUCUGGGAGUUGAGUAGGUGGUAUUUGGUAUUUUUCUUUCUUUCAAACUAAUUUCUCAUUCUUCUAGAUGAAUUGAUGUCAUGAAUAAGUAAUCAAAAAUAGUUCAAACUAAAAGCCCAACAACUUUUAUAUGAUUAAGAAAUCAUCAAACUAGACAGGCAUAUAUAUGAGGAACAAAAUCAAAAACAAUUCAAACCAAGAACAUGAUAAUAUUAGAAAUUGGGACCAACCCAUCAAAGAACAAAGAAAACUGUAAACAUUAUACAGAAAGAACAGAGUAAAAAAAGAAAAGAAAAGGAAAUUAACCCAGAUGAGAAAAAAAGACCUGUAACAAUGGCAACAAGGCCAGUUCCAUCAACUCCUUUGGUAACUUUCUCAGCAGUGGAGCUGGCAGAGAACCCAGAUUUUCCUUUAAUUCCAAAGAUCCACAUAUUUUUUCAAAUACCCAAUAAGAUUCUUGAUCAAAAACUGAAGAAACAAAUAGUAGCAGCUCUUUUUUGCUAGUAAUAGAAAAUAUUCUUUACCUCUGUAUUUAGCUAUGGAACCUACACUAUAUAAAUAUAGAGAGAGCUUGACAGAUGUAUAAAAUUUAUACGUAAAGUAUAGCUCAUGUAUGACGUUGGGAACCGUGUUGAAGAAUGAAUGAAAACAGGGGACACUAGCUGGCCUAUUUCGGUAUCAGAAUUCAGCCCAAGUGGACUUAGAAUAUUAUGGUCUUUGCGGGGUUGACUUCCAUUGUAGCAGCCAUCAAAAUAGACCAUAUUAAUUUUGGCCUUUUGGGUGGUUACAAUUAUAGUAAAUACUAGCAGUCGCACAUCCGUGUAAAUUAUGUAGAUUAUGUAGAUAAAAUAAAAAAUUUAUAAAAUUUAAAAGAGAAAAUAAAAAGGUAUAAAAAAUUAACAUUAAAAAGGAUAAAAUUGUAAUAUAUCCAGUUAUAAGAGCGAAAGAGUGAAAAGAAAAAAAAGUACGACUCAAUUAUACUUAAACUUGUGGAGGAAGCUUUCACGGAGACUUUAUAAUAUAUAUAUAUAUAUAUAUAUAUAUAUAUAUAUAUAUAUAUAUAUAGUUGUGUAGUACACAGUCGUUUAUGGCGACAGUUUUUUUUGAGCUAUAACGACGGUGAACCGAUAGUGACGAGUUCACACCCGUCGCUAUAGUUCAAAAAAUAUUGCAAUCAAGAAAUUAAUGAUUAUGACACAUUUAAAUAGGAAACUGAUAAAUCCACAACAUUACACAUGAAAAGUGUUGCUAUAGAUGUAUAGCAACGGUGAAAAGUCGUCGCUAUACAUCUAUAACGAUACUUUUCAUAUGUAGAUAUCAAAAAGUGUUAUAAAAAUAUGAAUUUUCAUUUAAAUAUAAUAGUUGAGGUGAUUUUUUAAAAUAAAAUGUUUCAUUUGGAUGACAUGACAUGAACCAAUAAUAAGUGACCUUUCAUUUCUACUAUACUAUGCCAAAUUGACUUAUGAUGAUUCAUAGUUCAUGAUAAUUUCAGAUGUCUAUGAUCGAGAAUUUUGUAAUUAAAAUGAUUAUCGAUUUAAUUUUAAAAUAAUAUUAAUAUCACAUAAAAGUAUCACAUAAUGCUCACAUACUAUAUGUGUGACACACAUGAAUUCAUUGUUGACAUGACUCACUUAACUCAACAACAAAUUCAUGGGUGUCACCCAUGCAAUAUGUGAGCGGCAUGUGAUAGUAGCAUUAUUAUUAAUUAUAAUUAAUUUGUAUAUUGAAAAGACGUAAAUAAUAAAUUUUAUGAAAUUAAUUAUAAUUAGGCCGCGUAAUCUGUCUAAAUGAUAUAUAAUGUAUUCAUUGUGUAGUCGACUUGACAUGCAUAUAUAGUUGUAUGAGGAGUAAGUAGCUAGUAACUAAUGUAAAUCUCAUUCUUAUUGAUACAAAGUAGUUUGAAAAAAAUUAUAAUAAUAAUUGUUGAAGUACAUCUAUCUAAUAAAAUACAAAUGAUUUUGAAUUUUCCGCUCACUCAAUAAAUUAUCUGGGCCGUCUAAAAUUUGGGAUAAAUCUCACCGUCCAUACAUCUAUCUAAUAAAAUACAUCUAUUUAUCUAUCUAAUAAAAUACAAAUAAUUUUGAAUUUCCCCCUCACUCAAUAAAUCAUCUGGGCCGUUCAAAAUUUGAGUCUCACUGUCCAUACAGUGUCCCCAGCCAGUAACUACAUAUAACAGGAAUUCAAACUGAGGUUGCUUAAACUUAAAGAACACACUAAAUCCUUUGUCAAGAAAAACCAACAACUUACAAACACAAUAGCUAAGUAAUUACAACUGAACAUUCUUUUUGUUUUUGUUUUUGUUCUUGUUUUCUUUUGCCGCAUUGGUGCCAAACAAAAGUAAAAAUAAUAGUCUCUAGACUUCACAAAAGAGUCAUAUUUGUUUUUUUUUUUUCUCUUUUUUUCUGCUAAAUUGAGAGUAUAUUGAAAAAAACAAAGGAACGAGAUCUGGGGACAUAACCGCAAAGCCACUAUAGCAGAAACAUCAUAGACAGGCCAAUGAUGCAGAUGCAAAUGUUAUAGUCAAAAGACUAUAACUGUCAAACCCUAAGAAAAUGGCUUUUCUACAAAUUUACUAAAUUUCUUAACAGGGAAUAAUUUACAUUUGAUAAUGUUAAUACAAUCUUGAGCAGUAGUAGAGGCAGCUGAGGGUUUAUCUCCAUGGUAUAUGUGAUUUUGCUUGUUCAAUAUCUUGUACACCAUAAUAGCCAAGCAAAGUUUUAUGAUGCAUCAUGUAAUCCAUACGAAUUAAUGAACUGAACAUGAUGUAUAAAUUGAUCCCAGCUAAAAGAUAUCCCAAACCUAUCAGCAAAAAUAGCUCUAAAUAUGUGCUUAGAAACUCAUUCAAAAAAGAGGUGGUCAAAUGAUUCAAAAAAGAGGUGGAAGAUUUGACUUGAGAAAGACCUGCCCAUAGCACUUGAUCAGGUAUGAUUGAGGGAGGAGGGAUUAAAAGGAGCUUCUGCUUCAUGAGAAGAAUACUAGCAUAGUUCGAGGGAGGAGGAGACCGAGUGCAGUUGCUUAUAAUCUCUCUAACAGUGGCAUUAAACAAGAUCCCAAAAAUAGAGACGAUGGGAUCAAGGGGGGUAGGUUGGUUUUCCAGCCAAGCCAAGGAUCCUGCCACAGUCUAAUGCCCAGACCAUUUCCAACUUUGUAUUCAAUAAAACGGGCAACUAACUGCCUAAGGUUCACGACCUUUCUCCAAAUACAAGAAGCGCAUCAUAGGGGACGGGAGUAGUCCAAAAAUUGUGCUUUAAAAGCAUAGUCUUUCGAACCCAUUCAGCCCAAAAAGAGGUAGAAUUAAAACUUACCACUUGCCACACGUGAUAUAUAAUUUGUGCCUUAUUCCAUUCUUCAACACUUUUCACACCCAAACCUCCCUCAGCAAGGGAAAGAGCGACUCUUUUCCAAGCUAUUUUGGAGCUCAUCUGAACUUAUACUAUAUAUAUUUCCUGUAAAAUUAAUCUAAAAGUUAAUUGGACUAUACUUAAUUGUCUCCUCAGAUUCUCUGCAAGCAACUAGAAGUUCACAAGAUUUUUAGAUCAGAAACAAAAAGAUUUAAUGCCAUGAUUCGAAGGGUUUAAUUUCCUCAAACAAUUACCAACAACUCUGAGAUAUAUAAAAAUGAAUCUUUUUAUUUCCAAGCUCACGAUAUUACACCGCUACAAGUUAUUUUUCUAACUCAUAAUAAUUACACAAUAUAUCUCACAAACAGGGCUACCAAAUUUUAAUAUUAUACAAACGCACACCAGAAAUUCGAAACACCAUGUAGUUUUCCACCUUCAUUACGUAUAAGGGCACACCAGAAAAAAAUUCAAAAUUAUUUUUUCUCCGUGAAGGUCAAGCUGACCUCCCACAAUUUCUUGGCCAAUUCUGGAUCUCUAGCUAGGGAGCUCGCUUUAGCUAUGUUGCUGUCCAUGAAAUAUUCACCACUAACCCCAUUAACUUUCGGACUCAAUGCCAAAUAGCAACUAGUUGCUGCUCCCUGGCUAACAUUUUUCAUAAAAAAUUGUGUACAACCAAAUAUGCCUGCAAUUCAUCAGCAAGGAACCAGAUCAAUAUAUGUUCCAACUAAUAUUUUAUAUAAUAUGAUUGAUAUAUGUUCAUACGACAACAACAUAGAAGUGUUGAUAAUAUUAGGUGAAGAGCGCGGAAUAGUAAAUUAAAAGGCUCGAAUACAUACAACCAAGAAGGCCGCUGUUUUGAACAAUAUUGGUGGCAAUAACUCCAGGAUGAAGUGAAUUUGCAGUCACAUUAGCUCCUUCAUCCUGAUAAUGACCAAAUAGAAAAAUUAAGCAAUGUUCUUAUAUUAAAAUUAAAUUCUAACAAGCAUGAUGAAUGACGAUAACUGCAGUAUGAAUUACGCGAACAGGUGGUCUUGCUAUAAUUGGUCAUAUUUGGCCAUAUUUGGCAUGAUUAAAAGAUUACUUGUACAAAACUCUAUAUCGAACAAAUAUUAUUUACACAACAUCCUCGAUCAAUCGAAGACUUUUCUCUUUUAUUUUUGAAUUCAGUGUGAAAUUAUUAGAAAAAAGAUGGAACAUUAGCAUUUUGGCUAAAUAAAAAUUGUACCUAAAGAUGCCUAGUUUAGGAUUAAAGUUUAACCAUCUUCAUGUGUAUAUUUAGAAAGUUAUUAGAGUAAAUGAUUACCUUCAAGCGCCUUGCUAGCUCAACACAGUGCAAUGUGUUACAGAGCUUGGACUGUCCAUAAGCACUGUUGGGGUUGUAACUGGAAAUUAUGAACAAAAUCAGAGGAAACAUUUAAAUUUAGACGAAUGGAAUAUGGUAAAACUCGUAACCUUUUAGUAGUUUGUUCAUAAUUAUGAAGAAAAAAAACAGUACAUGUAAUAUUUACCUUGCUUUAUCAUUGAUUUUGUCAAAACGAAUUCCUUCUUUGUACCCAUACCGGUGCAGCUCUGAUCCUACAUUAACGAUCCUUCCUUCUUUACCACAUUCGCGUGCGGUUUUUUUCAAGGUGUCCAACAAAAGAUUUGUCAAAAGGAAUGGACCCAAAUGGUUAACGGCAAAUUGCUGUUCUAUGUUGUCCUUGGAAAGCGUGAAUGGAGGUGCCAUGAGCCCUGCAUUGUUACUGUCAACACCAAAGAUUACAAAUUCAGUUAUAUGCUCAGGUAGAUUAGGCCAUUAUGAUACAUACUUGUAUUUAAGAAAAAUUACAAGACAAAAGACGGUUAAAUGUUAAAUAGCAGUUUUCUUACACAAGGAUGUUCAGGGGAAGACCGGUGGCGAUAAAUUCAGCAACAAAUUUCCUUAUGGAUGCUUGUGAAUUGAGAUCAAUCUCCAUUACAUCAAGUUUAGCACCGGGGAUUU
rnacentral:lncRNA from 1 species